rnacentral:lncRNA from 1 species
CUGUUAGGGCAUUAGAACCUAAAAAGUAAAAAUGAAAGAAAGCAAACAUAAUGUGGGCAUGCAAGCUUUAAAAGGGAAAACUAUAGCUAUGGCUAAUUACUUGUAAUAAAAUUUUAAAUUGUCGACGUUCCAUGGCCUUGGGAGCAGUUUCCCGAAAGUGUGCCUGAGGCUGUAAGCUCAACCUUUCAGUUUUCGUAUGACCUCGAAGGAUCCUUCCCAUGUUGGUCUAAGCUUCCUUGGUGGGUGUCCGGCAGUUUCUACUUUUCUAAGGACAAGAUCCCUAGCUAUGAAGCUUCUUGUCUGGACCUUGUUGUUGAAGUGACUUGCUGUUCUAUUCUGAUAAGUUGUAGCUCUAAGUGAGACUUACUCUCUUACUUCUUCCAGCAAAUUAAGGUGUUCAGUGGUUUGUCUCUCUGUAUUUGUCUCGAGCUUUCUUAUUGUGGGGAGGUUGACAUCAAUUGGAAUGGUAGCUUCAAGUCCAUAGUCCAUCAUGAAUGGUGUCUCACUAGUUGCUGUCUUAUGCGAAGUCAUGUAUGCCCAUAGUAUGGAAGGCAGUUCAUCAGGCCAGUCACCUUUGGCAUCCCCUAUUCUUGUUCGAAAGUCCUGAAAUAUGAUCCAAUUAGUUACUUCAGCAAGCCCAUUACUUUGUGGGUGUGAUACCGAGGUCAAGCGAUGGUCAAUCCCAUGGUUGGCACUAAAGCUCUUGAAUUGUGGAUUGUCGAAUUGCCUUUCGUUAUCUGUGAUGAGGACUUUUGGCAUUCCAAACCUGCAUAUGAUGGACUUUCAUAUGAAUGAUCUGAGCUUGGGCUUUGAAAUUGUUGCCAGAGGUUCAACCUCUACCCACUUUGUAAAGUACUCUAUUGCCACAGCUACGAACUUUAAUUGUCCUCUGGCCUAAGGGAAUGGUCCAAGAAUGUCAACUCCCCAUUGUUCGAACAGAGCCGAGUAAUGAACGGAAGUUAGUUCCUCAGCAGGAGCAUGUAUGAUGUUGCCAAACUUUUGGCACUUGUCGCACUUUCGAACAUAAUCUGUUGCAUCUUUUUUCAUACUUGGCCAGUAGUACCCAUAUCUUAUCAACUUGUAUGCAAGGGCUUGGGCUCCUUAGUGGUUUUCACAAGCACCUUCAUGAACUUCAGUCAAGGCUUGAAGAGACUCGGAAGGUUUGAGGCAUCUUAGAUAGGAGAGUGUGAAACUUCUGCGGAACAAAACUCCUUUGAUUAGACAAUAUCUAGC